rnacentral:rRNA from 1 species
GAUGAACGCUGGCGGCGUGCCUAAUACAUGCGAGUCGAGCGAACGGACGAGAAGCUUGCUUCUCUGAUGUUAGCGGCGGACGGGUGAGUAACACGUGGAUAACCUACCUAUAAGACUGGGAUAACUUCGGGAAACCGGAGCUAAUACCGGAUAAUAUUUUGAACCGCAUGGUUCAAAAGUGAAAGACGGUCUUGCUGUCACUUAUAGAUGGAUCCGCGCUGCAUUAGCUAGUUGGUAAGGUAACGGCUUACCAAGGCAACGAUGCAUAGCCGACCUGAGAGGGUGAUCGGCCACACGGGAACGGAGACACGGUCCAGGCUCCUGCGGGAGGCAGCAGUAGGGAAUCUGCCGCAAUGGGCGAAAGCCUGACGGAGCAACGCCGCGUGAGAGAUGAAGGUCUUCGGAGCGUAAAGCUCUGUUAUUGGGGAAGAACAUAUGUGUAAGUAACUGUGCACAUCUUGACGGUACCUAAUCAGAAAGCCACGGCUAACUACGUG